GAGCAGCACUCCUGGAGCUGACUGCAUCCUAUAUCUCACCAGGUGUGCACUUGGCAUUCACUGAGAACGAUGUCCUGUGCACCACAACCACAUGGAGGAUGUGGGGAGCCAUGGUCCUGUGCAGCAAAUCUGUGCCUUCAAAUCUGCUUCAGGUGUUCACAUCGAGACCAUUGCCAGCAUGGACACUGUUGCUCACUUUUCAUCCUGAAGAAGCACCCCAGCUGACUGAUGCCUCUUGGAACUGUAGAACCGUUAGUGCUGGAAAAGAUCACCAAUUCCAACCCCACUCCAUCACCACCGUGCCUAUCACUGCAUCCCUUGGUGCCACAUCUCCACAUUUCUGUAACACCUCCAGGGAUGAUGACCCCACCACUCCCCGUGCAGCCCGUGCCACUGCACCAUCAUUCAUUUAGAGAAGAAAUAUUUCCUAAUAUCCAGCUCUUCAAGACCAGAGUGGUGUUACUUGUUAUCAAACUGGACAGAAGGGACCUGAGCCAGGAGUGGGCAGUGAUGCCAUCUUUCUCGCAUGUCGGCGCUCACCCCGAGCCUCUU